CGUGUAUAGGAUAAGUGGUAGUGAUUGAUGUUGAUAACAACCAAUCAGGGGCCAGUGCUGCCUAUUUUAGAGCCGGUUGGCUGUGUUAGGUGAUGUGUCACCUCCAGCCCCGCCUUUCUUGUUCCGCGUUUGUUGACAUCUGUUUCAGCCUGGUUUUUCGUUGGUUUUCCUGUUGGUUGCCAUGGAGUUAAUGACUGCCACCCAUUCAGCUCGCUUGUAGCAUAAAUGGAGAUGACUAAUUCGUAAUACAUGAGUGUACUACUCCCGGCUUGGAUUCUCCCUCUCUGUCCUGGGCGAUUAUAAAUAAAGAUCUAGCAUCUGUAACAUUACUCCGGUUGUGUUUGAAAGAUUCUGCUAUCCUGAGAUCUCUAGUGGAAAGAACUACUACUGUUGUUUACUACUGCUGCCUGCUUCUACUAUCUGCUGCUGCUACAUUUACUGCUGCAGUUACUAC